rnacentral:lncRNA from 1 species
GUGUUUGUGUUUGCAUCCGGGUUCUCAGGCUUCCUCAAUCCUCACCGGCUGGAGUCGCUGGCGGGUUGCUGGGUGUGUUAGGUCCUGCUGUUCCGUCGUUGGAUGAGGCUGGAGGUCCGCCGGGAGCACACCUUUAGGAUGUUAUAAAAAACUAAUAGAAUACCACAAGAGUGGAAACCUUUCAUUUAAAUAUGUGAAGACUUUUAACAUGGAUGAAUAUGUUGGACUUCCAAGAAACCAUCCCGAAAGCUACCAUUCUUAUAUGUGGAAUAACUUCUUUAAGCAUAUCGACAUAGAUCCUAAUAAUGCUCACAUCCUCGAUGGGAACGCUGCUGAUUUGCAGGCAGAGUGUGAUGCAUUUGAGGAGAAAAUAAAAGAAGCCGGAGGAAUAGAUCUUUUUGUUGGAGGAAUAGGUCCAGAUGGUCAUAUCGCUUUCAAUGAGCCAGGAUCCAGUUUAGUAUCAAGAACAAGAUUAAAGACUCUAGCAAUGGACACCAUUUUAGCAAAUGCAAAAUAUUUUGAUGGAGAUUUAUCAAAAGUACCAACCAUGGCUCUAACUGUUGGUGUGGGGACAGUGAUGGAUGCCAGGGAGGUGAUGAUCCUCAUAACAGGUGCACACAAGGCGUUCGCGCUGUACAAAGCCAUCGAGGAAGGCGUCAAUCACAUGUGGACUGUGUCCGCUUUCCAGCAGCAUCCCCGGACUAUUUU